UACGAAGGGGGCUAGCGUUGCUCGGAAUCACUGGGCGUAAAGCGUGCGCAGGCGGCUUCUCAAGUCAGGGGUGAAAGCCCAGAGCUCAACUCUGGAACUGCCUUUGAGACUGAGAGGCUUGAGUACGGGAGAGGUGAGUGGAAUUCCCAGUGUAGAGGUGAAAUUCGUAGAUAUUGGGAAGAACACCGGUGGCGAAGGCGGCUCACUGGCCCGAAACUGACGCUCAUGCACGACAGCGUGGGGAUCAAACAGG
rnacentral:rRNA from 1 species